CGGCAGCACGGGGGCAACCCUGGUGGCGAGUGGCGAACGGGUGAGUAAUACAUCGGAACGUGCCCAGUCGUGGGGGAUAACGUAGCGAAAGCUACGCUAAUACCGCAUACGAUCUCUGGAUGAAAGCGGGGGACCGCAAGGCCUCGCGCGAUUGGAGCGGCCGAUGGCAGAUUAGGUAGUUGGUGGGGUAAAGGCUCACCAAGCCGACGAUCUGUAGCUGGUCUGAGAGGACGACCAGCCACACUGGGACUGAGACACGGCCCAGACUCCUACGGGAGGCAGCAGUGGGGAAUUUUGGACAAUGGGCGCAAGCCUGAUCCAGCCAUUCCGCGUGCAGGAUGAAGGCCCUCGGGUUGUAAACUGCUUUUGUACGGAACGAAAAGGCCUUUUCUAAUACAGAGGGCUCAUGACGGUACCGUAAGAAUAAGCACCGGCUAACUACGUGCCAGCAGCCGCGGUAAUACGUAGGGUGCAAGCGUUAAUCGGAAUUACUGGGCGUAAAGCGUGCGCAGGCGGUUAUGUAAGACAGGUGUGAAAUCCCCGGGCUUAACCUGGGAACUGCAUUUGUGACUGCAUAGCUAGAGUACGGUAGAGGGGGAUGGAAUUCCGCGUGUAGCAGUGAAAUGCGUAGAUAUGCGGAGGAACACCGAUGGCGAAGGCAAUCCCCUGGACCUGUACUGACGCUCAUGCACGAAAGCGUG
rnacentral:rRNA from 1 species